UAAUUAAGUGCUAGCUAAAACAUAAUUAGGGACUUGGAAAAUUUACUUGCAUGCUUUCAUAUUGUAUGUACUUUGAUCUAUUGGAUAUUUUAUCGUUCGACUAAUGUCGUUCCGACAUUAGGUCUUAAGAGAGGGGGAGUGUAAUGGUGGUUAGUUUUACCUUAUAAUUAAUUCAUAUUAAACCUGCUUUGUAAUUAUAAUAGCUUCUAAACUGCCGUACUGGCCGUAGUUAGCUAUGAGGUUACCGGGCCUACCGGUCUUCUUCCUGUAGGACCGGCCCGUGCCGGUCUGAUGUCUCAUGACGUCAGACUAGAGUUUUGCGUUAGUUCUGCACUUACAUACUGACUGAGAAAAGAAAACACUGAACUUCACCUUCUUCAGGUUGAUAUUUUUAUUAAUACUACGUUUAUAACCACCAUUAUGUCUCAUUUCGCCAUUCUAAACAUUUAGAGUAUUACAUGUAUUAUUCAUUGUAAACUGUGCAAAAAUCUAUUUGGCUUAGAUUAAAUCUAUAUUAUUAGUAACGUAUUCUGUUUUCUAAUAUUCCGUGAACUCGGGAAAACUCAUUCCCGUUACAAUA
rnacentral:lncRNA from 1 species